GAUGAACGCUAGCGGCAGGCCUAACACAUGCAAGUCGAGGGGUAGUUACUUUCGGGUAAUGAGACCGGCGCACGGGUGCGUAACGCGUAUGCAAUCUACCUUUUACAGGGGAAUAGCCCAGAGAAAUUUGGAUUAAUGCCCCAUAGUAUGUAUGAAUCGCAUGGUUUAUACAUUAAAGUUCCAACGGUAAAAGAUGAGCAUGCGUCCCAUUAGUUAGUUGGUAAGGUAACGGCUUACCAAGACGAUGAUGGGUAGGGGUCCUGAGAGGGAGAUCCCCCACACUGGUACUGAGACACGGACCAGACUCCUACGGGAGGCAGCAGUGAGGAAUAUUGGACAAUGGGCGCAAGCCUGAUCCAGCCAUGCCGCGUGCAGGAAGAAGCAUCUAUGGUGUGUAAAACUGCUUUUUGUACAGGAAGAAACACUCCCUCGUGAGGGAGCUUGACGGUACUGUAAGAAUAAGGAUCGGCUAAACUCCGUGCCAGCAGCCGCGGU
rnacentral:rRNA from 1 species